GGCUGAUCCCAUAAUGUAUCCUGAAGUGGCCAUCUUAAGCCUCAUCCUACAUCUGGCAGAUUCUGUAGCUGGUUCUGUAAAGGUUGGUGGAAUGGCAGGUCCGUCUAUCACGCUACCCUGCCACUACAAUGGAGCUGUCACAUCCAUGUGCUGGAAUAGAGGCGCACGUUCUUUAUUCACAUGCUGAAAUAGCAUUGUCUGGACCAAUGGAACCCACGUCACCUAUCGGAAGGACACACACUAUAAGGUAUUGGGGGACCUUUCAAGAAGGGAUGUCCCUUUGACUAUAGAAAAUACAGCUGUGUCUGACAGUGGCUUAUAUUGUUGCCAUGUUGAGCACAGUGGGUGGUUCAAUGACAUGAAAAUCACUCUAUCAUUGGAGAUUGUGCCACCCAGGGUCACGACUACACCAAUUGUCACAACUGUUCCAACCGCCACUACUGUUUGAACGAGCAUCACUGUUCCAAUGACAACAAGCGUUCCAACGACAACAACUGUUCCAACGACAAAGACUGUUCCAACAACAACGAGCAUUUCAAUGAAAACAAGUGUUCCAAUGACAACAAUGGUCUCUACCUUUGUUCCUCCAACGCCAUUGCCCACGCAGAACCAUCAAUCAGUAGCCACUUCACCAUCUUCACCUCAGCCAGCAGAAACCCACCCUAUGACACUUCAGGGAGAAAUAAGGACACAACCCACCAGCUCACCAUUGCACUCUUUCACAACAGAUGGGAAUGACACCAUGACAGAGUCUUCAGAUGGCCUUUGGAAUAACAAUCAAACUCAACUGUCCCCAGCAUAUAGUCCACAGAUGGUCAACACCACUAAAGGAAUCUGUGCUGGAGUCUGUAUUUCUGUCUUGGUGCUUCUUGCUCUUUUGGGUGUCAUCAUUGCCAAAAAGUAUUUCUUCAAAGAGGAGACUCAACAACUAAGUGUUUCAUUUAGCAGUCUUCAAACUAAAGCUUUGCAAAAUGCAGUUAAAAAGGAAGUCCAAGCAGAAGACAAUAUCUACAUUGAGAAUAAUGUUUAUGCCACGGACUAAGACCCAGUGGUGCUCUUUGAGAGUUUACGCCCAUGACUGCAGAAGACUGAACAGGUAUCAGCACAUCAGAUGUCUUUUAGACUCCAAGACAAUUUUUCUGUUUCAGUUUCAUCUGGCAUUCCAACAUGUCAGUGAUACUGGGUAGAGUAACUCUCCCACUCCAAACUGUGUAUAGUCAACCUCAUCAUUAAUGUAGUCCUAAUUUGUUUUGCU